AUUGAACGCUGGCGGCAUGCUUUACACAUGCAAGUCGAACGGUAACAGGCCGCAAGGUGCUGACGAGUGGCGAACGGGUGAGUAAUGCAUCGGAACGUGCCCAGUCGUGGGGGAUAACUAUCCGAAAGGAUAGCUAAUACCGCAUACGCUCUGCGGAUGAAAGCGGGGGACCUUCGGGCCCCGCGCGAUUGGAGCGGCCGAUGUCAGAUUAGGUAGUUGGUGGGGUAAAGGCUCACCAAGCCAACGAUCUGUAGCUGGUCUGAGAGGACGACCAGCCACACUGGGACUGAGACACGGCCCAGACUCCUACGGGAGGCAGCAGUGGGGGAUUUUGGACAAUGGGCGCAAGCCUGAUCCAGCAAUGCCGCGUGCAGGAAGAAGGCCUUCGGGUUGUAAACUGCUUUUGUACGGAACGAAACGGCUCUGGUUAAUACCUGGGGCUAAUGACGGUACCGUAAGAAUAAGCACCGACUAACUACGUGCCAGCAGCCGCAGUAA
rnacentral:rRNA from 1 species